AAAUAUUCCCUUUAAUGUCCAGCAGAGGGCGCUCUCUUAUUGUGCAGUUCUAACUGACUCUGCCUUUCAUUUGAGGGUCUCUGCAGCUACGACUGCCACCCAGUCUGUCUGGAUCAGGGCUGGAGGACUUUUUGUUGGAGGAAACAAUGAAAACAUCUUUAGGAAGUUCAGUUUGGUCUCUACAGCUGGAGCAGCACCCUGACCCUCCAGGAGGACCAGUGGCUAAAGAAGACAGUGACCUGUGAGGCCACCAAGGACUCCCAGCCUCCUGUCAGCCAAACCCUGAGCAGAGAGCAAUGCACUGGGCAGUGAGCGUCCACGCAUGUGUUGGAGCUGCUAGAGCUCCUCUUGAUCUUCAGUGAGCUCAAACAUGGCUCUGCUUAAUGCUCUGAUCUUCAUCUCAUCACUUCAUCAUCACAAUAAAGAGCUUCAGUAUUAAUAUCUA